rnacentral:lncRNA from 1 species
GAGAAGGAAGAAGUAAAAAUGUGUUUAUUUACUGAUGAUGUGAUCAUGUACAUAACAAGCCUCCUAGAAAUAAUCAAUUUAGCAAGGGCACUGGCUGUUGGGACAGUCUUAUAUGGGUCCUAAGCAUCCCUGCAUGUUCUUACUAUGUCAAACUGAAAAGUCUGUCUCCUGAUACUGAGCCCACAAGCAAUCGCAAUUAAGUAGACCAAAGUGACCAUAGUGUGAUGACAGUGUAAUUUCUCCCACCCCGGUGGAAGGGGCCUGGCUUUAUUUGCUGCUUACUAAAACAGGUACUGAGCCUUUGGCUCUGGACUCUGCCAAGCUGUGGCAUAACUCCUUGAGUGCAGCACCAUCUGGGGUCAGUGUGUCACUCAUAGGACUUGGGAGCAGGGGGCCCAGGUUGCCUUGCUGAUGUUCCUGCUGUUUGCCAUCAGUAAUUUGGCCUCACUGUCAGCUUUUGGCAUCUGUGACGUUGUGGCAUACUCUGACAUAGGUGAGCAAAAUUUUUCUUAAAGGGUCAGAUGGUAUUUAAGGCUGUGGGCCAUGUAGUCUCUGUUGCAACUACUUAACAUUGCCAUAACAGCAUGAAAGCUGCAAUAUAUAAUAACAUGUAAGUAAGUGACCAUGAUGAUGUUCUCCAAAGAACUUUCAUUUACAAAAACAAGCAGCUGGCCCACUUUCUUUCUUUUUCUUUUGAGAUGGAGUUUCACUCUUGUUGCCCAGGCUGGAGUGCAAUGGCUCGGUCUCAGCUCACUACAACUUCCGCCUCCCAAGUUCAAACGAUUCUUAUGCCUCAGCCCCCCAUGUAGCUGGGAUUAGAGGAAUGCGCCACCAUGCCCGGCUAAUUUUGUAUUUUUAGUAGAUGGGGUUUCACCAUGUUGGUCAGGCUGAUCUUGAAUUCCUGACCUCAGGUGAUCCACCUGCCUCGGCCUCCCAAAGUGCUGGGAUUACAGGUGUGAGCCACCGCAGCCGGUGCAGCUGGCCCACUUUCUUUCCAUGAGGCUCAGAGCAGGAACUUGUGUAAUGUCUCUUGUCUUGUAGGCAGCGAAGAUGGGGAAGCAGGAUUUGGAUCCCUUUCCACCUUAACCUCUGUGCUCUGUGCUUUCCUACUGACCCUAAAAAAUGUAUUUAAGGGCUUCCUUGCCCUCCAGCUUGCAGUUAAGUUGUACCAGUGGGAGACACAAGCAGAGAUCAGAGACGGGAGAAGGGAAAUGGAGGUCCCUGCUAUUUCUCCACUAGCCUCCUAGAGUGUGGGGUUUCCUAGUGGGAGGCCUUCUAUGCACAUAUUACUCUCUCCAGCUUCAGGGAAUUGUUUCAGGCCCUUCCCUUUUAAGCCUAGAAAUAACAAUUACUGCCCCAUCCCAUCCCAAUUAGCGAGGGGUACAGCACUUGGCUUAAAGCUUAGUCACUCUUGGCCGGAGGCAGUCGCUCCAGCCUGUAAUCCCGCACUUUGGGAGCACUUUGUCCUCUCAGCUCCCACUGCACCACUUUAGGGAUCGCGUGGUGACUCGUUUCAGUUUAUUUACGUGUGCUCCUGGAAAGGACGCUCUAUUUCCCUAGUGUCUCUACCUGGUAGGUAAAUAGGCCGCAGAAAAGACCAAUGCUAACUCCCAUCCCGCAUUUGCAGAGAUCCGUCGCUCACACCGUUUCUCGUCUUCCGUCGAAAAAUGGGAAUCGUGGGAGUAGGACCUAUUUGCCAGUCUCCUGGUAACAUUGUCACAACUGGCCACUUCCGCCCAACGCCCGGUAGCCCAAGGGCCUCCAGGGUCCUACCCCACAACCCCGAGCUCCUGCAGACGACGGCGUCGUGGGCGGUCACUGUUUUCCCUUAGGUCUGGAGAGGGGACAUCCGAGCGAGGGCCACUUGCGGCCUGGCCCGAGCUCGUCCCGCUCCGGGU